rnacentral:rRNA from 1 species
UGAGUAGGGCGGGACACGUGGUAUCCUGUCUGAAUAUGGGGGGCCCAUCCUCCAAGGCUAAAUACUCCUGACUGACCGAUAGUGAACCAGUACCGUGAGGGAAAGGCGAAAAGAACCCCGGCGAGGGGAGUGAAAAAGAACCUGAAACCGUGUACGUACAAGCAGUGGGAGCACGCUUAGGCGUGUGACUGCGUACCUUUUGUAUAAUGGGUCAGCGACUUAUAUUCUGUAGCAAGGUUAACCGAAUAGGGGAGCCGAAGGGAAACCGAGUCUUAACUGGGCGUUAAGUUGCAGGGUAUAGACCCGAAACCCGGUGAUCUAGCCAUGGGCAGGUUGAAGGUUGGGUAACACUAACUGGAGGACCGAACCGACUAAUGUUGAAAAAUUAGCGGAUGACUUGUGGCUGGGGGUGAAAGGCCAAUCAAACCGGGAGAUAGCUGGUUCUCCCCGAAAGCUAUUUAGGUAGCGCCUCGUGAAUUCAUCUCCGGGGGUAGAGCACUGUUUCGGCA